rnacentral:rRNA from 1 species
GAAUUCAUGGUCCGGUGAAGUGUUCGGAUCGCUCCGACGUGGGCGGUUCGCUGCCCGCGACGUAGCGAGAAGUCCACUGAACCUUAUCAUUUAGAGGAAGGAGAAGUCGUAACAAGGUUUCCGUAGGUGAACCUGCGGAAGGAUCAUUG